ensembl:lncRNA
CUGCGUCCACGUUGCCUCUGUUUUUAAACUUGGAUCUCAUCGUACCGCAGGUCUGCCGAGGGGCCUCACCUCCUCUUCCUCUUGCACUUCUGUGGGUCAGGUCCAGCCAGCUGAUUGGCAGUUUGAAGGGGUAAACAGCGGAGAGAAAUCCGAUCAGACUGAAUACAGGCAACCGGGCCCACGGAUAAACAAGAAAACCAGUGUCUCCGUGGUGUCUCAAGAAUAAACCACUGGCCUCCACACAACGGCCGCUGCUGUCCUCCUGUGUGUCCAACGGGAGGAACCAGGGGCCAAGCGUUGCUCCAGUGGCUGGGUUCUGGGGAGCUGCAGGUCUACCUGUGGAUUAUUCCCUUCACAGGAACACAAGGGUACAGGGAGAAGCGGAGCCAGCUCCAUCUGUGGAAUACUGAUGCAGGAAUGGUCGAGCUCAGGGAGGCACGGGCAGCAUGGAGGCCAGGAGACGAAUCCUUAAACACACAGUCUGCAGGGUUUAUUGAUGCUCUAAGGAGA